UGGGAGUUCAAAAAUUUGGCUGUAAUAUUCCUGGCAGUUUUUAUUUGGGGAUCUCUUUCAGGAAGUGAUCUGUGGAUUCUUUUAAUUUCUAUUUUAUCCUUUGGUUCCAGACAUUUGGUGUAUGUGCUUGGCUGAGGAGCCAAUGGGGCGAAGCUACCAUCUGUGGGAUUAUGACUGAACGCCUCUAAGUCAGAAUCCCCCCUAAGCG
rnacentral:ncRNA from 1 species